rnacentral:lncRNA from 1 species
CCUCUCAAACUAAAGAUUGAAUGGUAGAAGCUGCACAGCACCGCUUCGUAUGUAUUGGCGAAUAAAGUGAUAAUCAUUCUUGAUACACCUCGCAUUCAACCCAGCCGAUAUGGCACCGUCGACUAAUCGGAGCCUAACACAAGUCAGCUACAAAGCUCCCAUCUCGGUCAAUCAAUUCCCACCAUAUGGCCAUUUAGAAGGGAUGCGGAGGUGCCUUAAUCUCCCACCACUCAGUGAUGGUU